UGGGGAAUUUUGGACAAUGGGCGCAAGCCUGAUCCAGCUAUUCCGCGUGUGGGAUGAAGGCCCUCGGUUGUAAACCACUUUUGUAGAGAACGAAAAGACACCUUUUAAUAAAGGGUGUUGCUGACGGUACUCUAAGAAUAAGCACCGGCUAACUACGUGCC
rnacentral:rRNA from 1 species